UGAGUGCAUGUUCCCGUUAUCUUAAAAGAUAGUUUCUCAGCGGGAGGCUGGACUAUCUGGGUAACGGUUUGAUUGAGUUGUUUAGUAUCGAUAUUAUUGUUUAGUUAUUAGUACUCAAGGUCUUAGGCCAUAUAGGCCGGACUACUGGUACUAUUGGUUUGUGUUGUAGAGUCGAGUGUCUGGUUAGUGUCUAGAACUUUAUCAUUACGUUAGGUUCUAGAUUGAACUGGUACUAUUGGUUUGUGUUGUAGAGUCGAGUGUCUGGUUAGUGUCGAGAACUUUAUCAUUACGUUAGGCUCUAGAUUGUUUGUGUUGUGUGAGUGUGCCGACAGUAUGUGCGUAACCCGCCCAUAUUAGGCUUGUUUGGGGUUGAUUAGUGUUUCCUCGCCCUCGUAUUCAGCGG
rnacentral:lncRNA from 1 species